UACGAGGGGUGCGAGCGUUGCUCGGAAUUAUUGGGCGUAAAGGGUAGGUAGGUGGUCUCAUUUGUCUGGGGUGAAAGCCUUGGGCUUAACUCAAGAAGUGCCGCAGAAACGGUGAGACUGGAGUCCUGGAGAGGGUCGUGGAAUUCCCGGUGUAGCGGUGAAAUGCGUAGAGAUCGGGAGGAACACCAGAGGCGAAGGCGGCGCCCUGGACAGGUACUGACACUCAACUACGAAAGCGUGGGGAGCAAACAGG
rnacentral:rRNA from 1 species